rnacentral:rRNA from 1 species
CACGUAGGGGGCGAGCGUUGUCCGGAAUUACUGGGCGUAAAGCGCGCGUAGGUGGUUCGUUAAGUUAGGAGUGAAAGCCCCGGGCUCAACCUGGGAAUUGCUUCUAAAACUGGCGAGCUAGAGUAUGGUAGAGGGUGGUGGAAUUUCCUGUGUAGCGGUGAAAUGCGUAGAUAUAGGAAGGAACAUCAGUGGCGAAGGCGACCACCUGGACUGAUACUGACACUGAGGCGCGAAAGCGUGGGGAGCAAACAGGAUUAGAUACCCCGGUAGUCCCUGAGCGGG